AAAUUCAUUUCAUAAUGUUUUGUUGUUUUUGAGAAUUUUGUGUUGGUGAUAAAUCUUUGAUAUUUUGUAAUCAAUUUGUUCACUUAUUCAAUUUAUAAUGUAUUUAUAAUACGUUUUGGAACUGGCGCAUUACUGUGUGACGGAGUUAAACUAGUUGUCCUAGAAUUAAACCAUUCCCUAAAACAGAUGUAUUGCCUGGAAAAGUUGACAAUUAAAGUAUGGUAAAUGGUUUUACUAGUUUAAUAGUGUGAAUCGCCAAAACUAGAAACAUAAGGACAAUACUGAAAUAGUAAUUACAAUACGGAUUGUUUGAUAAUCUCACGAAACAAACAUAGUUUACCAUUGAACAAAAAUUUAAAUGCACAAAAUAAAAAUCAAAAAUCAAAUAUAAAGCAGCAGACAGUCACAUGCAUAUAAACAGUUAUAAUAAUAUAAACAGUACCAAUUUUACUGCACCAGAUGAGCAUUUCGACAAUUACUGUCUGUUCAGUGAUGCUUGAGGCCAAAAUAUUUUGAAAGUCCACAACCAAAUACAAAUGUUGAAGAAUGUACAAGUAUAUAAAAAAAAAAUCUAAGUUUCUUAUAUAAAUUCAUAAUUUAUAUAGUGAUAAAUGUUCAAAAACAUAGUAAUCAAGUUGCACUUGAAAAAUAAGUCCUUAAUGAAAAUAUGACUAAAUAUAUAUGAUAUAUGAUAUAACGGAAAGUAUCGAAUUGGUCAUUUCCUGUCUUAAUAACUGUAUACGACCAAUAUGGUUUUACAAUAAAUAUAAGUACUUAACAUUUAUAUGUAUCAUUUACUUAUAUUUGACAUCAAAUAUUUUGAUAAAUAUUAAAGUAAUAUGGUUAUUCGUGUUCGUGGAUUAUUAGAGCCAAACUGUCAUUUUACAUAUAAAAACCUUCAUUUAGUUUCUAUUUCUCGUGUGUUUAUUAUUUUAUUCUUAUUCAGUAAGCGGUCUUAAUGUUGUUACUACUGACACAAAAUACAAUGAUUGAAUAGUACUAAUAUGUAUCAAAUGAGAACAGAGAUUGCCUUUUUUUCUUCACUUCAAACCAAAAUGAGAAAUUCGCCAAACUAUGAAGUGUUUUCUUUUUUUAUAAUACUGUUGAAUACAAAAGAUAUGAAGUUUCUGAAAAAAAACUUGUAUAUCAAUUUUAAACGUUGAGUAAGCCAAAUAAACAUUACGGCAUAAAGUCACAAUCGAUUUAAUAUUCAGGGUUAUUUUGCCUGACUAAACUUGGAAAGAACAUAUAUUAUUUCAAAACAGGUCCAGAAAAAGAGACACUUAAAAUAUUCAGCUUCCGUCACAUGUGUACAAAGAAACAUAGGCAUGAUAUACCACAUUUUAAAGUUAGAAGGAAAUGAUAAAAUGGGCGUUAAUUUUGAAAUAAUCCCACUGUUUCUUAAAGAAGGAGCGAGAUCGGGUGCGUCCACUUGGUAAUCUUCUGAUGCUCAAAUUCACUAAAAUUGUUGACUAAGCAGGUUAUCAAGUUUAUGAAUAAAAAUGAUUUAUCUAGUUGUACACACUCAUUGGUAUGUUCAAGGCCAGAUGAUUCCUAUUAAAGUCCCAGGUAAUGACAUUUAACCAAUAAAGUGUCGUGAUUUGUUGUAAAUAUUUAUCGGUAUCUAUCUGUUGUAGUGACGUAGGCGUUCUUUAGACCUUUCGUCAACAAUAAUUUAUUGUAAUGACGUAGCGAUAUUUCUUGCGUAUUGAUGUGAUGAAUAUUUACUGAAUUAAAUCUUUUUAUAAUUUUGUAGAAAAUUUAACGUUAACACCCAAUUUGUACUUUGCCAACCCAUCAAAUAAGGAACACCACCUUAUUUAAUUGAUAUUAAAUUUUUUUUUCAUACCAUUCACAAUUGUGGGUGUGUUUUAUAAAUUAGUAAAAAUCUAAAACCCACUUCAGAAACAGUUUAAAGGCAUAAAGUACUUUAUAACGAGUGCAAAUGUGUUAUUUGAAUAUUUGUUUUUCAUACUAUUCAUAUUUGUACCUAUGUAAAUUCGUUUCAAUAAAAGUUCACGUUUUAAUAUAUAAAUUGGAUGCAUUCCAAAGUAGAACUAUGAAUUUAUGAACAAGCUGGAGGAUGUUUCGGGAAAAGGAGAUUUACACAUUACUUUUCAUCGAAAUUGUUACUUCUGCUAAAUUUUCAGUUAUAAUUAGAAUUCGAGAGUAACUGCAACUGUCCAUGUGUAGCUUUAACCCGAAUAAUUCAGUCGUUAUAUUCCACUGCUCUACGAUGGCUACAUUAACGAGUGGGAGAGUCGAUCACGGGGAGGGACUGAAUUAUUCGGGUUAGUGUAGCUUCAAUUUAAUAAUAAUUACUGACUCUGCUAGUGGGUCCGGAAGCUUUGUGCAAGAUUUAACCACUGAGUUAAUAAAAAAAAAAUAUAAAUAAAUUCGUAGAACGAAAUUGGCAUAUUCAUAUGUAUAGGUAUUAAAAAAAGUUUAACAACAGACUUAUAUCAAUUGUUUGGUUGGUUAAUCAUUUCAUAGUAUUGCAAUAUACACCAUAGCCCCUUUCAUUAAAGUUAUUAUCUGCCAAACAAAAACAUAAAAAAAUAAAUACCUGUUUCCUAAGAGCAAUGCUUCAAUUCUAACUAUUGCGAACAAGAUCUCAAGAAAUGCAACAAUACAUGUGAGAUAUAGAUACUAAAACCCCUUAAGAAUAAAUAUGAACAUUUAUUUUGCCAAAUAUACUCUGAUAUUUUAGUAUCAAUGCAUUAUUGUGGAUAAACGUACAACUUCUUCCAGAUGACUAUAUUUUCCCUCGAUACUUUCGUUGUAGGCAAACAGAAGACGGUGCCGAAUCAUUUAGUUAAACUUUAAGAUGUAAUUUUUCCAAUAAAGAUGAAAUAAACAUAUUUGAUGGCCUAUGUGAUAAAAAUUCAAUAUUAUAUUUAUGAAUUUAAAUUUGAAACAAUAAGUAAUUUUGUUUUUUUUAACAGCAAGUUAUGCGGACUUUAACUGAUUUCACCGUUAACACCUGCCUCUUAUUAGAAACUAAAAAAUCGAACAAAACGAAACAGUUGUACGUUAAAGUGUCUAUCAAGAGGAUAUCAUGACAAUUCAUUAAACUGAAAAAUAAUAAACACAUCGACAUUCAAAUAACAAUAUAAUGUAUAACAUAGUUUGACAGAAACUGUAUAUAAAAAAAUUAGAUGUGUGAUAAUGAGACGGUAAACCAGAGGACAAUAAUAACCAAGAAACAUUUAUAGAGCAACAUACCUUUUGAAACAACAUACAGAUGUCCAUACAAUAUGUCCAGCUCUAAUUCGUCCCGUGUCUAUAAAAUUAGUAAUAAAUUGAAUAGAAACUAUCAAACAACUGGCUUAGUUUCCAAAUAGCAAAAUAAGUCAGAUGCAUGCAUAUAUGACAUAAAACAAUCACUGACAAAUAUUUCCGAAAUCGGGACAGACUAAUGAAUAUGUGGCGGGAUUGUACUAUGUUUUUGGGAAUCUCAAUCUUCUCCUUUUUUUUUUAUCUCGAUCAGUGAGCUAACAAAUGGUUCAAAAAAGAACAUACAAUAAAAAGCAGUGCAUGGCUAGCACCAAACUCUAAAAAUAACGGAAUAACAGACAAUAAAAACACAAGUACAAAAACAUAUUUGAUAUGAUAAAUCAUGCUGAUUGUUACUUGUAUAAGUUCACGAUUUUGUUUGUUUAUAAUUAUAUAAGAUCUACAUAAUUACACAAUCCCGCCAUCUUUUCUCUCGAUUGUGAUAUGAGCGAAUGCGACUUAUCAGCGAAUUUUACUUCCGAUGAUUAACACGGUGAGUGUCACUUAUGGAACAGGAAUGGCUUACCAGUCCGGAGCAACUGAGUUUAAGUAUUGUUUUUUUUGUUUUCUUUGUAUUUUGUUGUUUGUUUUGGCCAAGAUGAUGUUUGUUUUUCUUCUAUUUAUGGUUAUUAUGUUUUCCAUCUUUCCAUACCGUAUUAAAGAAUGAAAUAGCUGAAUGGAAGCUCUAAAUAUUUUACCACCUGAUAUAAAACUAAUGCCGUUCUUCACUCAAUAUAGGUUGACGCAUUUUACAGACGAUUUCCUACAACAACGUGAUAAAAAAAAAGUACACGACAUUGUGCAAUACUUAUAUUCUUUAAGUUGUACGUUGAAGCUCUGACGAGGUUUCAAUGUUUUUUACGUGUUUUGCAAAGGGUACAAAUACAUUAAAAGUGAUACAUAUGUUUAGAGUAAAUUUUUUUGCUUAUUACUUGUAUUGUAAUUGAGUUCACGAUUUCUCGUGCAUUUUGUUUGAACCUUGAAAGACUGUUCUUCAAAUGGCACGCUAGGGUUUAUCCAAGCAAAGUUCUCUUACAAAAUCAGAAUUGUGACAGUCGUUUUCUAUUUAUUUACUAAUACUAUUAUCCCCAUUGUGUCGGUGCAUGAAUACUUCUGAUUUUUUAGAUAAAAUUGCAGUCCUUAGUCUAUUUGUGAUGUCCUAUUUUUCUAUAUCCACUGAUAACACAUGUGAUAUGUUUCUCAGAUAAAAACUAUCUGUAUAGGGGAUAUAACAAAUAUUUUUAUUUUGUUCAACAUGUUACUGAAAAAGCUCUUCCUUUUGUGUUUCCUUAAAAGAGGCUUUGGUUUUUUGCUGGAUAACAAUGUUGACAGCACUGGAGGAACAGUUCCUUCAAACAAUCAAUAUCUAACUAUAUCAGAAUUUUACGAAGAGAAGAAGGAACAGAGACACAUGACAACAGAAUUGCGCCAUGAUACAGAUCAGUUACGGAAUGACAUGGAGAAAACCUUUGCUCUUAUGACAUCACAGUUUAAAAAACAGCUUGAAAUACUUAAACAGAAUGGUUGUAGCAACAACGAAUCGUCUCAAAAUGUUAAUAUUUUAGAACAAAAAUAUAUUGAUUUGGGACAAAAUUAUCGAGAUUUAGAAGCUAACAACACUAAGUUGAGGAAUGAGUUUACCGAUUUAUUGAUGAAGUAUAAAACACAAGAGCAAGAACUGCAAUCGUUGAGAAUUAAAAUGGAAACUAAAUUUGCCUUUCAGGAAAAUGUAACCGCAGAAUUCGGCAAAGAAUUAUCCGAAUUAAAACAAUUAAAAAAUUUACAACCACUUCAAGACCUCAAUUAUAUCAAGCAGCAGCUACAGACUGUUGCCUCAGAGACACAUUCGCUCAGCGUUAAUGAACGUGCAAGGAGUCAAGACUUCUUGGCCUUGUAUAAUAAAACUGUUUACAUUGAAGAAACGACAAAUCAUAGGAUGGGAAAAUACUAGAACAUGACCAAUUUAAAAUUUAAUCAACUGGAAAAUGGUCAAAAUAUAACAUAUAACAUUCUCAACAAGAGAAUGAAGGACUUUAAAGAACAUUCAGAAACCGUGGAAAAUAGUACAUUUGCGAAUUUGAACAAAGAAGUCCAGAACAUUCAGAUGAAUUUAAACAUGUCAUUGGCUCAACUAGAACAGCAAAUAACGGAUAAUAGUAGAAAAGUUGCUGUAACAUCAUGUGUUUCAAGUGGGAAGAACUAUAACGCUCACACAUUAAUAAAGUUUGACGACGUACGUACUUCUAUUGGAAUAAAGAAUUUAUCAGCAUUUAAGACCAGCGGCAAAUUUUCGUGUGAAGUAGACGGACUGUAUCAUAUUUCUGUUCACGUUGUAUCUCACACCACAGGUUCAUACUAUUCUAUUUAUAAAAACAACAACAAAUUAAUCACAACAUAUAACGACGGUGGCGGGCAUGCCCAAACGACUGCGGGUGUUGUUGUCGUGGAGAUGAAUGUUGGUGACAAUAUAUCGGUAACUCCUGACACGAACAUGUAUAUAUAUGCGAGACACUGGUCUUGUAUCACUAUUGCAAUGAUAAAGUAAUAUAGUAUUAUUUGAAUAAAAUGUGAUAUAGGAUUUACAUUAAUGUGACAGCAAUCGAACAACACAAAUCACAUGAGAGACAAAUGCAUAAUCAUAUAACUUAAGACGACUAAUAUAAUUGUGACAGACAUGUUAACUUGACUGUACAUGUCGCAACGUUAAAAACAUUUUGAGCUGACUUAAACCUACUGACUUUCAUCUCGAGUUUAUUAGAAUAACCAAGUACAUAGAAAAACGUUAAAUAAUCUGUUUAGAAACGCUUUAUAAGACCACAAAAACACAUGCAUAAUUAAAUGCAUGUUACAAAAUGGUGUACCAAAGAACAAUCUUGUUUACAGAAAACAAACUCAAAGUACUGGUAAAACCUUCUAAUACAGAAAUAUCAUAAGCAAAGUGAUAUGAUGUUGAUUCUAAAUCUGAUUAUAGAACAUAUGAAUAAGACAUAUCAGACGAUUAAGACGAUUCUAAUUGCUGCUUUUAUUUUGCAAAUAACUUUUUACAUUUAUUAAUUUGCAAUGUAAAUAAUAUACAUAUUCACCACUGAUCGCAAUCGUUAAAAAUUGAAAUCUUAAUGGUAUUGAAAGAUGUAAUAAAUACAUUAAAUAGCUUACACAAAUAUACCUUAUAAUGUAAUAAAUCAAUUUUUUAACA